UUAUCAUAUAUAGCAAUAAUAAACUCAUUGGAUAUCGAUCUUCAUGGAAAAGAAAACAGGAAUGGAAAUGGUGCACCCAAAUAAGUCAGCAACAGACAAGAGCUUCAGAAAAUUUAGCUCAUUUCCUCCUGUUAGAGGAAGUAUCAAGAGGAGAAUGUUCAUGUCUAUGUUUGGAAAAAUUAAGUACAGAUUCUGCCACCCAAUUCUGUUCAGCUCAAGUUAGUCAUUCUCCAGACUUAUGAGUUAAUAUUUAAAUUGUAAUAAUAUGCUACAUUCACAUGUAUUGUAACCCAGCAAUAACCAUGCAUAUGUAUGGUAUCUAUAUAGCAAUAAUAAUGGUGUAUGUAUACCAGUGUUGUAAAAUAGCCACAACUACAGCUACAGAAGCACUAUAACGUUGUUGUAACACUGUUGCAUGCCAAAAUUGAAACAAACUAUUAAUUUUACAAUGCUUGCAGAAACUGUAAUAUUAUUGUUACUUCAAGAAUAAAGUUGUGACUUAUUUUUCUUGCCUUUCGAACUAUUAAAAGUAGUAUGCCAUAAAAUACCUGUCUUUUAUUGUGUAUCUAUUGUAGCUUUUGCCACCUCUAAUGCAUCUUAUUGUAUUAUUGAAAGCCUACAACGAAAUCGAAAAACAGUAAAGUUAAUUUGGUUAUUUUAG
rnacentral:lncRNA from 1 species